GAAAAAAGAGCUAAAAGGAGCUGUAUCGGGCCGGUGAGAUGAGGAGGAAACGGAGGAGAGGAUAUGAUGUUGUUGUUGCUAUCCAGAAUUCAGUGACUCAGCCAGGGUACACUAGAGGAAAGACACAGCUUCUGGAGCCUGAGUACAGCACUAGCGUGACUAAGAUGAGCUCUGGGUGAGCCUGCUGAUUGAGGGAGACAAGGAACUAAAGAA
rnacentral:lncRNA from 1 species